CCGAGUUUACAACUCCCAAACCCAAUGUGAACGUUACCAAACUGUUGCCUCGGCGGGGUCACGCCCCGGGUGCGUAAAAGCCCCGGAACCAGGCGCCCGCCGGAGGAACCAACCAAACUCUUUCUGUAGUCCCCUCGCGGACGUAUUUCUUACAGCUCUGAGCAAAAAUUCAAAAUGAAUC
rnacentral:misc_RNA from 1 species